UACGAAGGGGGCUAGCGUUGCUCGGAAUCACUGGGCGUAAAGGGUGCGUAGGCGGGUCUUUAAGUCAGGGGUGAAAUCCUGGAGCUCAACUCCAGAACUGCCUUUGAUACUGAGGAUCUUGAGUCCGGGAGAGGUGAGUGGAACUGCGAGUGUAGAGGUGAAAUUCGUAGAUAUUAGGAAGAACACCAGUGGCGAAGGCGGCUCACUGGCCCGGUACUGACGCUGAGGUGCGAAAGCGUGGGGAGCAAACAGGG
rnacentral:rRNA from 1 species